rnacentral:rRNA from 1 species
GUGGGGAAUUUUGGACAAUGGGCGCAAGCCUGAUCCAGCAAUGCCGCGUGCAGGAAGAAGGCCUUCGGGUUGUAAACUGCUUUUGUACGGAACGAAACGGUCCUGGUUAAUACCCGGGGCUAAUGACGGUACCGUAAGAAUAAGCACCGGCUAACUACGUGCCAGCAGCCGCGGUAAUACGUAGGGUGCAAGCGUUAAUCGGAAUUACUGGGCGUAACGCGUGCGCAGGCGGUGCUGUAAGACAGGCGUGAAAUCCCCGGGCUUAACCUGGGAAUUGCGCUUGUGACUGCAGUGCUGGAGUGCGGCAGAGGGGGAUGGAAUUCCGCGUGUAGCAGUGAAAUGCGUAGAUAUGCGGAGGAACACCGAUGGCGAAGGCAAUCCCCUGGGCCUGCACUGACGCUCAUGCACGAAAGCGUGGGGAACAAACAGGAUUAGAAACCCGAGUAGUCC